UCGAGAAUUUUUCACAAUGGGCGCAAGCCUGAUGGAGCGACGCCGCGUGGGGGAUGAAUGGCUUCGGCCCGUAAACCCCUGUCAUUUGCGAUCAAACCUCGUUAUUUAAAAGAUGACGAGCUGAUAGUAGCGAAAGAGGAAGGGACGGCUAACUCUGUGCCAGCAGCCGCGGUAAUACAGAGGUCCCAAGCGUUGUUCGGAUUCACUGGGCGUAAAGGGUGCGUAGGUGGUGGGGUAAGUCGGAUGUGAAAUCUCCGAGCUCAACUCGGAAAUGGCAUUGGAAACUACCCUGCUAGAGGGUCGAGGGGGGACUGGAAUGCUUGGUGUAGCAGUGAAAUGCGUAGAUAUCAAGCGGAACACCAGUGGCGAAGGCGAGUCCCUGGACGACUCCUGACACUGAGGCACGAAAGCUAGGGGAGCAAACAGGAUUAGAUACCCUGGUAGUCCUAGCCGUAAACGGUGCACGUUUGCUGUAAAAGGAAUCGACCCCUUUGUGGCGUAGACCG
rnacentral:rRNA from 1 species